rnacentral:rRNA from 1 species
UACGUAGGUGGCAAGCGUUGUCCGGAUUUACUGGGCGUAAAGAGCGCGCAGGCGGUCGCUCAAGUCGCGUGUGAAAGCCCCCGGCUCAACUGGGGAGGGUCACGCGAUACUGAUCGACUGGAAGGCAGGAGAGGGUAGUGGAAUUCCCGGUGUAGUGGUGAAAUGCGUAGAUAUCGGGAGGAACACCAGUGGCGAAGGCGAGUCUCUGGACAGUUACUGACGCUGAGGCACGAAGGCCAGGGGAGCAAACGGG